UGAGCAGUUGGACAUCACCCAAAGACAUCAUAUUGAAGGUCGCUGGAAUUCUGACAGUUAAAGGCGGCACCGGGGCAAUUGUUGAAUAUUUGGGGCCUGGCGUGGACUCCAUCUCCUGCACCGGCAUGGCCACGAUAUGCAACAUGGGCGCCGAGAUCGAUUGGCUACAGUGAAGGUCGUGGCAGAGAGUGUACUCAAACUCCUACUGUGAGCUACUUCUGCUGCCUGCGCCCUCACCACCCCUGUGAAGGACGCCCAGCUGACCCAACCCUCCUCGGUGAGUCUGUCCCACUUAAUGUUGCAAGAGUUAUCCGGUAUACCUUCACUCUCUCAUGCUUUCCCUAUGUCCUGUGCUGUCCAACUUAAUAAUGUGAGAGUUAACUGGUGUUUUCACUACCAUCUUUUUAGAGAGUCUGAUUAAAAAACUAAUGCAG